GACGGAGGAUGCAAGCGUUAUCCGGAAUGAUUGGGCGUAAAGCGUCCGCAGGUGGCAGUUCAAGUCUGCUGUCAAAGACCGGGGCUUAACUUCGGCGAAAGGCAGUGGAAACUGAACAGCUAGAGUAUGGUAGGGGCAGAGGGAAUUCCUGGUGUAGGCGGUGUAAUGCGUAGAGAUCAGGAAGAACAUCGGUGGCGAAGGCGCUCUGCUGGACCAUAACUGACACUCAGGGACGAAAGCUAGGGGAGCGAAUGGG
rnacentral:rRNA from 1 species